rnacentral:tRNA from 1 species
ACUUAAGUAGUUUAAAAUAAAAUGUUGAUUUGUGGAGUCAGAGAUAUUAAUUAUGAUCUUAGGUU